rnacentral:piRNA from 1 species
UGGGUUAGUGUCUGGCGGCAGGCUGU